AUUGAACGCUGGCGGCAGGCCUAACACAUGCAAGUCGAGCGGAUGAAGGGAGCUUGCUCCUGGCUUCAGCGGCGGACGGGUGAGUAAUGCCUAGGAUUCUGCCUGGUAGUGGGGGAUAACGUCCGGAGACGGGCGCUAAUACCGCAUACGUCCUGAGGGAGAAAGUGGGGGAUCUUCGGACCUCACGCUAUCAGAUGAGCCUAGGUCGGAUUAGCUAGUUGGUGGGGUAAAGGCCUACCAAGGCGACGAUCCGUAACUGGUCUGAGAGGAUGAUCAGUCACACUGGAACUGAGACACGGUCCAGACUCCUACGGGAGGCAGCAGUGGGGAAUAUUGGACAAUGGGCGAAAGCCUGAUCCAGCCAUGCCGCGUGUGUGAAGAAGGUCUUCGGAUUGUAAAGCACUUUAAGUUGGGAGGAAGGGCAGUAAGUUAAUACCUUGCUGUUUUGACGUUACCAACAGAAUAAGCACCGGCUAACUUCGUG
rnacentral:rRNA from 1 species